rnacentral:rRNA from 1 species
GACCGAGGCGAUAGCAUGUUGAAUGCACCAGAGCUGUCAAUGAAUCACUGAAGUUAAGCAACAUUACGCGUGGUCAGUACCCGGAUGAGUGGCCAUCUGUGUAAUAGCGUACUGUUAGCU